rnacentral:rRNA from 1 species
CCACCACCAAAGCAUUUGCUGUACCGCGUUGACGGAGCGAAGCGACGUCAAACCGAUAAAACAGCAGUGUAAAGUGAGCCGCAGGGCGCUUUGCGCGACAGCGCAAAGGCAGGCGGUUUCGCGUAGCGAAAGCGAAUGCUUUGGGGUGGGGUGACUGCGUACCUUUUGUAUAAUGGGUCAGCGACUUAUAUUCUGUAGCAAGGUUAACCGAAUAGGGGAGCCGGAGGGAAACCGAGUCUUAAUUGGGCGUUAAGUUGCAGGGUAUAGACCCGAAACCCGGUGAUCUAGCCAUGGGCAGGUUGAAGGUUGGGUAACACUAACUGGAGGACCGAACCGACUAAUGUUGAAAAAUUAGCGGAUGACCUGUGGCUGGGGGUGAAAGGCCAAUCAAACCGGGAGAUAGCUGGUUCUCCCCGAAAGCUAUUUAGGUAGCGCCUCGUGAAUUCAUCUCCGGGGGUAGAGCACUGUUUCGGCUAGGGGGCCAUCCCGGCUUACCAACCCGAUGCAAACUGCGAAUACCGGAGAAUGUUAUCACGGGAGACACACGGCGGGUGCUAACGUCCGUCGUGAAGAGGGAAACAACCCAGACCGCCAGCUAAGGUCCCAAAGUCAUGGUUAAGUGGGAAACGAUGUGGGAAGGCCCAGACAGCCAGGAUGUUGGCUUAGAAGCAGCCAUCAUUUAAAGAAAGCGUAAUAGCUCACUGGUCGAGUCGGCCUGCGCGGAAGAUGUAACGGGGCUAAACCAUGCACCGAAGCUGCGGCAGCGACGCUGAUGCGUUGUUGGGUAGGGGAGCGUUCUGUAAGCCUGCGAAGGUGGCCUGUGAGGGUUGCUGGAGGUAUCAGAAGUGCGAAUGCUGACAUAAGUAACGAUAAAGCGGGUGAAAAGCCCGCUCGCCGGAAGACCAAGGGUUCCUGUCCAACGUUAAUCGGGGCAGGGUGAGUCGACCCCUAAGGCGAGGCCGAAAGGCGUAGUCGAUGGGAAACGGGUUAAUAUUCCCGUACUUG